rnacentral:lncRNA from 1 species
CUGGACCCUAUGACCUUGCUUCACAUUGGGAGAGGAAACGUGAGGUGGAGGAAAAUGAUCCCUGUGACGAUGUUGAAAACAGAGCCUGCUCAGCCUUAAUAAACCAGAGCUGCUGCGAGGCACCAGCGCUUCAGUUGGGUCAAACCAAAGUUUCCUGCUCUUCUCAUAAAGGUGAGAGAAGGUCCGUGGAGGCCACCAAGGACAGGCCCGUUGGCAUCACUCUGGCUACCUCAGUCCCUUAAUGUCCUGGAAAACUGGAGUCUGCUUCCUCAAGAGCCCAGCGGUUGCCCAGUAAGGCUGGGGCCGGAAGCACAAAAGAACCGCCC